GGUGAGAUGGCCGAGUGGUUAUGGCGCUGCGUUCAGGUUUCUGAGCAAUUCUCGCAGUGGAGCAAUCCGCGUGGGUUCGAGUCCCACUCUCAUCA
rnacentral:tRNA from 1 species